CAAGCAUUUUCCCUGACGACAGUGGGGAAACUGAGGCAGGGAUCCAGAGAAAGAUUCAUAAUCUGGUGAAUGCAUCUCUCCAAAGGGAGAGCUGGGUUAGCCUAGCCCCCUGCCUGCUGAAGCCCAGACCUGCCUUCCCCACCAAGCCCGAAACAGCCAUCUCUGCCCACCCUCACCCAGGUGUGUUCCUCUCUUCAUUUAAAAAUGCAGCACAGAAAACAGCCACAGCUAAAGAUCCCCCAAAAGUAAUAGCAGCCCUCCUGAGGGCAGUGGUAGAGCCAAUGAGCUGCAGCAUGAAAGAUUGUGGGCAGGCUCAAGGAGGGACCUCCUGGGUCAGCACCAGGUGCUCCCUAAAGGAGCAACCACUGAGGAAGGGCAGGGGGCUUGGUGGUACCAAGGGAGGCCAGGUUGGAGCCCAGACCCGCCCAGAGGCAGAGGGAUGACCUGGCUGACUUUCCCAGGAGCUGGAGUUCUCACUUCGGGGGUGCUUACUCCUUCUCAAGCCCCAUCAGUCAUGUUAAUUACCGAGAAAAAGCCGAUUUCUCCUCAUUCCCAGACUCCAAGCGACAGUAUCAUUAGGCUGCUAAUGUGUGGAGAAAUUGUGCGUGUCUGUCUUGGAACAUGUCCUGAUCCAGAAUGGGUAAGGGCGCCCCAGGCAGGGGCUGGUCUCCAAGAUGCUGCCUGUGACAGAGAGCCAAUCUCUGGAAGAAAUGCUGUGCCAAUCGGCAGAGGUGGUCUCCCUCUCUGUUCAGUGGGCAUCAACGAUGAUAAUUAAAUCACACCAGCCGAUGGCAUGGAUAAACAGUUCACAGCAUGCAAAGCUUGCCCGAUAGGAACAGAGCUGCUCUCAGACUUAUACAAGGACUCAGACCCUCUUGGCUCUGCUAAACUUAAACUCUGGCCUUGAACUCUGCCGCAGCCCUUUCCAGUCUUGCCUGUACCCUUUUCUCUGAGCUCCUGCCCACCUCUGAAUCAAGAGACAUCUGAGCACCAUCUUACCUCUGGGAGGGAGGAACUGGCUAUUUCUUCCCUGAGCAAGGCCAAGUCUCUGCAGUCAAGAAGAAUGCAACCUCCCAGCCCCAGAAUAAUAGCCACUGCUCCAGCCCUUUACAUGCGUCUUCACACCCUUAACCAUUUAAUCCUCAAUCCAACCCACUUAAGACACAAAGAAACUGAGGCCCAGAGAGGUGAGGUCAUCUAUCCAAGUUCAAGUCUCAGAGCUAAGCCAACCCAGAUCUUCCCAAUGCCAAAACUCAGGCUGAAGACAGUCCUCGGCUAAUCCACCCAGCACUCCAGGAACAUUCUCUUUCUAGCUUCUGUCCUCAAGAGCUAAGACAGUACCAGCAUUGAUGAAAAUUGAAAUCUGGGCCACUCUGACUCUGUUGAUGGAAGGGAAAAUUAGAACAACUUUUCUGGAAAACCACUGAGCGGUGGUGUCAAGAGCUUUAAAAACAGACAGACCCUCUGGUCCCAUUCAUCUACUUUUAGGAACUCAAUCCAAGAAAUAACCAAAGACGCCAAAAAAGACCCAUGUACAAGGAUGCUUAUUACUGUUAUUUAUAACUGUGAAAAAUCCCAACCAACAUAAAUGUCUAGCAAUGGAGGGCUGGUUAAAUAAAUUAUGAUACAUCCAUAUAUAAGAAUGUUAUGUAAACAUUAAAUGUCAUGUUCUUGAAGAAUUUUUAAUAACCUGGGGAAAUACCAUUUUAUAAGUAAAGCACAACAGAAAACAAAACCGUCCAUCUAGGAUGGUCUUGAUUGUAUAAAGAAAACAUUUAAUCAAUUCAUGUAAAGAAAGUCUGGAAGGAAAUAAAUGAGAGUUAAUCUGAGAA
rnacentral:lncRNA from 1 species